rnacentral:rRNA from 1 species
GAUGAACGCUGGCGGCGUGCCUAAUACAUGCAAGUCGAGCGAACAGAUGAGGAGCUUGCUCCUCUGACGUUAGCGGCGGACGGGUGAGUAACACGUGGAUAACCUACCUAUAAGACUGGGAUAACUUCGGGAAACCGGAGCUAAUACCGGAUAAUAUAUUGAACCGCAUGGUUCAAUAGUGAAAGACGGUUUUGCUGUCACUUAUAGAUGGAUCCGCGCCGCAUUAGCUAGUUGGUAAGGUAACGGCUUACCAAGGCAACGAUGCGUAGCCGACCUGAGAGGGUGAUCGGCCACACUGGAACUGAGACACGGUCCAGACCCCUACGGGAGGCAGCAGUAGGGAAUCUUCCGGCAUGGGCGAAAGCCUGACGGAGCAACGCCGCGUGAGUGAUGAAGGUCUUCGGAUCGUAAAACUCUGUUAUUAGGGAAGAAAAAAUGUGUAAGUAACUAUGCACGUCUUGAAGGUACCUAAUCAGAAAGCCACGGCUAACUACGUG